GACGAACGCUGGCGGCGUGCCUAAUACAUGCAAGUCGUGCGGACCUUUUAAAAGCUUGCUUUUAAAAGGUUAGCGGCGGACGGGUGAGUAACACGUGGGCAACCUGCCUGUAAGACUGGGAUAACGCCGGGAAACCGGGGCUAAUACCAGAUCGUUUUUUCCUCCGCAUGGAGGAAAAAGGAAAGGCGGCUUCGGCUGCCACUUACAGAUGGGCCCGCGGCGCAUUAGCUAGUUGGCGGGGUAACGGCCCACCAAGGCAACGAUGCGUAGCCGACCUGAGGGGGUGAUCGGCCACAUUGGGACUGAGACACGGCCCAAACUCCUACGGGAGGCAGCAGUAGGGAAUCUUCCGCAAUGGACGAAAGUCUGACGGAGCAACGCCGCGUGAGUGAAGAAGGCCUUCGGGUCGUAAAACUCUGUUGCCGGGGAAGAACAAGUGCCGUUCGAACAGGGCGGCGCCUUGACGGUACCCGGCCAGAAAGCCACGGCUAACUACGUG
rnacentral:rRNA from 1 species